rnacentral:rRNA from 1 species
CCUACGGGCGGCUGCAGUGGGGAAUAUUGGGCAAUGGGGGCAACCCUGACCCAGCGACGCCGCGUGGGGGAAGACGGCCUUCGGGUUGUAAACCUCUUUUGUACGGGAAGAAGGAAGUGACGGUACUGUACGAAUAAGUCCCGGCUAACUACGUGCCAGCAGCCGCGGUAAUACGUAGGGGACGAGCGUUGUCCGGAAUUACUGGGCGUAAAGGGCGCGCAGGCUGUGCUGCAAGUCAGCUGUUAAAUGUCUGGGCUUAACCCGGGCAUGCGGUUGAGACUGCAGUGCUGGAGUGCUGUAGAGGCAAGUGGAAUUCCCAGUGUAGCGGUGAAAUGCGUAGAUAUUGGGAAGAACACCGGUGGCGAAGGCGACUUGCUGGGCAGCAACUGACGCUGAGGCGCGAAAGCCAGGGGAGCAAACGGGAUUAGAUACCCCAGUAGUC